rnacentral:rRNA from 1 species
GACGAACGCUGGCGGUGUGCUUAACACAUGCAAGUCGAACGGUAAGGCCCUUUCGGGGGUACACGAGUGGCGAACGGGUGAGUAACACGUGAGUAACCUGCCCUCAUCUCUGGGAUAACAGUCGGAAACGGUUGCUAAUACUGGAUAUGAGCUUGCAAGGCAUCUUGUGGGUUGGAAAGAUUUUUUUGGUUGGGGAUGGACUCGCGGCCUAUCGGCUUGUUGGUGAGGUAGUGGCUCACCAAGGCUUCGACGGGUAGCCGGCCUGAGAGGGCGACCGGCCACAUUGGGACUGAGAUACGGCCCAAACUCCUACGGGAGGCAGCAGUGGGGAAUAUUGCACAAUGGACGGAAGUCUGAUGCAGCAACGCCGCGUGCGGGAUGACGGCCUUCGGGUUGUAAACCGCUUUCAAUUGUGACGAAGCUUUUUGUGACGGUAGCAGUAGAAGAAGCACCGGCUAACUACGUG